UGAGCCCUCCCUGCUAGCGUGGAAGUGGGGACGGGUCCCUGGGGAAGACGAGCUCCCAGCACGCCUAUGGCCAGAUGGUGCGACUGGUGUUAUUGUUGGAAGAGCAGGGAAGUAGCCUCAAGUUUGGGUUUCACCUUCCGUGGAUUCAUGCGUACAACCAGCUGUCCAUACCCUUUGCUUAGGAUUUAGGAUAGCAGGUUUCCCGUUUGUUAACUCAAAUACAGCCAGUCAGUGCAAACCAAAAUAAGGUGGCACAGUAGAAGCUAUCUUAAUUGAAGAAAUACUAUCCAUGACUUUAUUUCCCAUUGGGAGUAGAACCGGGAGACAAAUUUUCCUUGCUUUAAGCAGUUUUAAUGGCAGAAAAAAGACAAGCUUAUAGUGUAGAGGAAGCAAUGGAGCAACUGAAAGGACCAGGUGGACAAAAAUGGUCCAAUAUGGAUCCAGAAGAGCGAAUGUUAGCUGCUGCUACGGCAUUUACACAUAUCUGUGCAGGGCAGGGUGAAGGAGAUUCAAGGAGAGAAGUGCAGGCUGGCCAGUAUGACCCCUACAGUAAAGCCUCAAUAACACCAGGAAAAAGAGCUGCUCUUCCUAUGCACCUGCACUUCCCAUAUACAGGAAGCCAUGUCACUUCAUCAACAGUUUCAGAGACUUCCCAAAAAUGCAGAAAGCCAGUAAUGAAGAGGAAGGUGCUGCGUAGAAAGCCAGAUGGGGAAGUGCUGGUGACAGAUGAGUCUAUUAUCA
rnacentral:lncRNA from 1 species